GUUGGCGCCUUUGUGUAUUUUUUGUUUGUUUUAUUUUAUUCUUAACUAAAAACACUAUGUGACUAUAAUGUAUACGCAUGCAGUUCUGAUAUUGAACACAGGGUGGAGGACUAAUGCAGGAAGUGCAUUUAACUAAGCUUCUGGUGAUGAGAAUCAGGUGUGUAGAACAGGAAGCAAACAGUUUUUGACCGUGUCUUUGUGGCAGUUGUUAGUUUCGCUGGCGUGCUUGUAUGUGAAUUUGCUGAAUGGAAACAGCAGCGCUGCUAUCUACCCGUGUUAUGCUCACAGGCACUCCUCAACAGCACGGUGGACCAUAAUCCAGCAGGAUAGUGAGUAUUUCUUUUCUUUACCCCAUCCUUAGUAUGCUGCUGUGACACUGUAACUCCACACAGGAACGUUUGGGGCCUCCGGCUUCCUGACCACGGGACUGAUCCUCUGCUGAGUCACGCUCACCAUUCACUUCUCCUGCUCACCCACGGCAUAAUGAAGAGCCUGUCCCCUUCCUCCGGUGACUCUGCAGUGAAGCCUAGCUGACUGAUCAGUCAGGCACCAGCUUGGGGUAGGAACACCCCCUUUUAGGAAGAAAUGGUGCAGCCCAAUUCAGCAUUAAAGCAGUGAUCAGUGGUUUAUCUGUCAGUGUUUGAUUGACAGCUACAAUACUAUGAGCCAAUCAAAUGUUUGUGGGCCCAAAAUAAUCCACCAACCAGUUUCUAGGGAACCCAUGUGGGGUUCUGUUGCA